rnacentral:rRNA from 1 species
UACAGAGGUGGCAAGCGUUGUUCGGAAUUACUGGGCGUAAAGGGCGCGUAGGCGGCUUGGUCAGUCCCGUGUGAAAUCCCUCGGCUCAACUGAGGAACUGCACGGGAAACUGCCUGGCUUGAGUUCGGGAGAGGGAAGCGGAAUUCCGGGUGUAGCGGUGAAAUGCGUAGAUAUCUGGAGGAACACCGGUGGCGAAGGCGGCAUCCUGGACCGGCAUUGACGCUGAGGCGCGAAAGCCAGGGGAGCAAACGGG